rnacentral:lncRNA from 1 species
ACAUGAGUAUGAGAACUCCUCGUUGAUCGUGUUCAGUGGACUCAUUCGCUAUUGAGCACUUACAUGCUUGUCUUGGUGUCAAUCACACCAAUGACUCGAGACCAGUCACUCUCCAUGAGAGAAGACACAACACGUAUUGAUCUUAACGGACUGUCAAUGCCCAAUUGGCAAUCCUAUGAUCAGGACCGUUUAAGAUAUGUAUACGAAAGAGAAUGGUCUCAUGAAUCUAACUUGUUUAAAUUACAUUCUCCUAAUUACAUAUUCCUUGGACUUAUCGUUUAAGCAUAUAACAUUUAUAUGAGACGGCUUAAAAUAAUAAUCUUUGCCCUUGAUAUUAAACUAGAUUAGUUUAACAUGUGAAAUGUCCGUAAAGUAUCAUCAUAUGAUUGGUUUUAGGGCACAUUUCCAACAGUUGUAGCAAAGGAAGGGAAGGAAAGUGCUUGGACGUGCUUGCUGUCCAACUUGGAUCGUUGGAGCGUUUAGGUGUUUUCUUUCUUUUGUUUCCAAUGUUUAAAUUCAUUUUGUUUCAUUUUGUUGUAAACAUGAGAGGCUAAACCCCUCUUAGCUAGGGGUGAUUUCAAAGCCAUGAUUAUGCGUGUAAUA